GCUCCGGUGGCCUAGUGGUUAAAGCUUCCGCAUCGGAUGCCGAAGGUCAUGGGUUCGAUCACCGGUCGAGUCA